rnacentral:rRNA from 1 species
GGCUCAGGACGAACGCUGGCGGCGUGCUUAACACAUGCAAGUCGAACGGGGAUCAUCGGGCGGAAGGCUUCGGCCGGAAGGCUGGUGAUUCCAGUGGCGGACGGGUGAGUAACGCGUGAACAAUCUGUCCCAGACAGGGGGAUAACACUUGGAAACAGGUGCUAAUACCGCAUGAGACCACGGUGUCGCAUGGCACAGAGGUAAAAGGAGUAAUCCGGUUUGGGGUGAGUUCGCGUCCGAUUAGCCAGUUGGCGGGGUAACGGCCCACCAAAGCGACGAUCGGUAGCCGACCUGAGAGGGUGAUCGGCCACAUUGGAACUGAGAGACGGUCCAAACUCCUACGGGAGGCAGCAGUGGGGAAUAUUGGGCAAUGGGCGAAAAAGCCUGACCCAGCAACGCCGCGUGAGUGAAGAAGGCCUUCGGGUUGUAAAGCUCUGUUAUAGGGGACGAAGUGCGUGACGGUACCCUAUAAGGAAGCCCCGGCUAACUACGUGCCAGCCGCCGC